rnacentral:rRNA from 1 species
GACAGAGGGUGCAAACGUUGUUCGGAAUUACUGGGCGUAAAGCGAGUGUAGGCGGUUCGCUAAGUCGGGUGUGAAAGCCCCAGGCUCAACCUGGGAAGUGCACUCGAAACUGGCGGGCUAGAGUAUCGGAGAGGUUGGUGGAAUUCUCGGUGUAGAGGUGAAAUUCGUAGAUAUCGAGAGGAACACCGGUGGCGAAGGCGGCCAACUGGACGAAUACUGACGCUGAGACUCGAAAGCGUGGGGAGCAAACAGG